GGGAAUUUAGCUCAGUGGUAGAGCGCUUGCCUAGGAAGCGCAAGGCCCUGGGUUCGGUCCCCAGCUCCUA
rnacentral:tRNA from 1 species